rnacentral:rRNA from 1 species
UAGUCCACGCUGUAAACGAUGAGUGUUAGGUGUCUGGGAGAACCUGGGUGCCGCAGCAAACGCAAUAAACACUCCGCCUGGGGAGUACGCACGCAAGUGUGAAACUCAAAGGAAUUGACGGGGACCCGCACAAGCAGCGGAGCAUGUGGUUUAAUUCGACGCAACGCGAAGAACCUUACCAAGUCUUGACACCCUAACUAUGAAAAUCCAUAGAGAUAUGGAUCUAUGACUUCGGUCGACAUAGCUAC